GGAGGGGGCUAGCGUUAUUCGGAAUCAUUGGGCGUAAAGGGCGUGUAGGCGGCUUCGUGUGUCCCAUGUGAAAGCCCUCGGCUCAACCGAGGAAUUGCAUGGGAAACUGCGGAGCUUGAGUCCGGGAGAGGAGAGCGGAAUUCCCAGUGUAGCGGUGAAAUGCGUAGAUAUUGGGAGGAACACCGGUGGCGAAGGCGGCUCUCUGGACCGGUACUGACGCUGAGACGCGAAAGCCAGGGGAGCAAACGGGGAUUAGAUACCCCGGUAGUCCUGGCCGUAAACGAUGAGCACUUGGUGUGGCGGGUAUCGACCCCCGUGCCGUGCCCGAAGCUAACGCAUUAAGUGCUCCGCCUGGGGAGUACGGCCACAAGGCUG
rnacentral:rRNA from 1 species